GCUCCUAGCACGUGACCAAGGAGACUAUGCUCCGAGAUUCCCAUAUAUGCCCUUCGUUCUUUCACAUAAACGUGUCUGUCUUUCGGCUUCAAUCUGAUUCAGGUGUACAUCUCUCUCUCUCAAAUUUCUGCAAAUUUUUCGCCGAAUUCCCGAUUAAAUCUCAUCCAUCUUUCUCUUAUUUUCUUUUCACUUUCUCUUCCUUUUUUUUUUUUUUUUUUUUUUUCUGAUUCUCUGUUCCAAAAGGGACAAUCCAUUCACUGCUUCCAUGAAGAUCUAGGGUUUCUUCCACUUCGUCAGCUUCAAAUCUGAACCUUUCCGCCUCGAAUUUCUGAUUUUCGAUGUUCUUGAUUCAAUGCGUUGAGCAAUGGCGUUGUGGUUCAUCUAGGUUGCUUUGGGUGAUCGAUGCUUGUUUGUUGUCCUUUUUUGUGAUCUAGGAUUAUUCUGAUUUUGUUCUGUGGAUGAGAGAUUCAAUUUGGCUACGAUGAAUAUGGAGAUAGUUAGCGAUGUGCUGUCUUUGGACGCCGAAUUGUUGCAGCUGCCGGAGGUGUCGCCUUUUGCUCUCAAGUCGAACCCUAGGUUCUCCGAGGAGCUUUUUGACCAGUGGCUUUCGCUUCCUGAGACUAACCGUCUGGUGACUUCAUUGCUGAAUGAUGCAAAGGCAGGUGUUCCCUUGAAUGUCCCUGGAAAUUCUUCUUCGACAAAUGCUGCUGCAAGCAACUCAUUACCUUCCAUGUUUCCUGCUGGCAGUGCACCUCCACUGUCACCAAGAAGUAUAUCUGGUUCUCCUCGUGUUAUGAAGCAGAGGAUUGGCCCUUCUAAUUUAAGUUCUCCUCUGAAAUUAGCUAGUGAGCCUGUUAGAGAAUUGAUACCUCAGUUUUACUUUCAAAAUGGCCGCCCACCUCCAAAUGAACUAAAGGAACAAUGUUUGUUUAGGAUCAAUCAAGUUUUCUAUGAUCACUUGGAUGGACUGCAAAUACAUGAAUUUAGAUCAGUUGCUAAGGAUAUUUGCAAGUUGCCUACGUUCCUCUCCACUACUCUUUUCAGAAGGAUUGAUGUUAAUUUCACUGGGAUUGUUACUAGGGACGCAUUUGUUGAUUAUUGGGUCAAUGGCAACAUGUUGACGAUGGAUAUAGCAACCCAAAUAUUUAAAAUUUUAAAGCAACCAGAUCUCAAAUACCUCACUCAGGUUGACUUCAAACCUGUACUUAGAGAACUUUUGGCAACUCAUCCAGGGUUGGAAUUCCUACAAAGUACUCCUGAGUUCCAGGAAAGAUACGCUGAAACUGUAAUAUACCGAAUAUUUUACUACAUGAAUAGAUCUGGGAAUGGUCAACUUACCCUCAGAGAGCUAAAACGUGGGAACUUAAUUGCUGCAAUGCAACAUGCAGAUGACGAGGAGGACAUCAAUAAAGUGUUGAGGUACUUCUCUUAUGAACACUUCUAUGUUAUAUACUGCAAGUUCUGGGAGCUGGAUACCGACCAUGAUUUUUUGAUUGAUAAAGAGAACCUAAUCAGAUAUGGUAACCAUGCACUUACCUAUCGAAUUGUUGAUAGAAUAUUUUCCCAGAUUCCAAGAAAGUUUACGAGCAAGGUUGAAGGCAAGAUGGGAUAUGAAGAUUUUGUCUACUUCAUACUGUCGGAAGAGGAUAAAACAUCUGAGCCUAGUCUUGAGUAUUGGUUCAAGUGCAUAGAUUUGGAUGGAAAUGGAGUUCUGACAAGGAAUGAAAUGCAAUUCUUUUAUGAGGAGCAGUUGCAUCGAAUGGAAUGCAUGGCCCAAGAGCCUGUGCUCUUUGAGGAUAUAUUGUGUCAGAUAGUUGAUAUGAUUGGUCCAGAGAACGAGAGCUAUAUCACGCUGCGUGACUUGAAAGGUUGUAAACUUUCUGGAAGUGUCUUCAAUAUCCUUUUCAACCUUAAUAAGUUUAUGGCUUUUGAAACUCGUGAUCCAUUUCUCAUUCGUCAGGAGCGUGAAAAUCCAACAUUGACCGAGUGGGAUCGCUUUGCACAUAGGGAAUAUAUAAGGCUCUCGAUGGAAGAAGAUGUUGAAGAAGCCUCAAAUGGAAGUGCAGAAGUUUGGGACGAAUCACUAGAGGCUCCCUUCUAAUUUUAGUUGGUGCUGGGAAAAAAAGAAAAAAAAAAGAAAAAAAAGUCCCAAAUUCUUCUUCCAAACUGGCUGCCAGACAAUGAAACAGUCAUACCACAAGGCCUAUGUGUGGAUGAAUUGAGAGAGGUGGCUCCAUAUCCAAGUAUCAAAAAUCUGCAAAAGGGUGCUGUUUCUGAGAGCUGCUGAUUAAUCAAAAUCAGGUAAAAGUAGUUCAGAACAUUUUUGUUCUAUUUGUAAGAUAUCAUUUAUGUCUUGAGUUUUUCUUUUUCUUUUUCUUUUGUUCCUUGAAAAAUUAGUGGUUGUUUUUUGGAUACUUUCGUAUGUAUGGCAAUGUUUUGUAUUCUGGUGAAACUGAGUUGGAUCAUGCUCAUUUAUCAAUUUAUUGCUUGGUUCUUUUUUCUA